UUCGAAGAUGAAGCGGCACUGGGCUCCGACGGCGUUAGACAAACGUUCGGUCGUGAUGGAUAAGCCAAUUUGCGGCAGGCCUAGAAAACCUCGCCCACUGAGA
rnacentral:snoRNA from 1 species